AGGAACUCUUGUGCAGAGGCGCGGUGAAUAAAGAGGGUGCGAGAGGUAUGCGGAUUUACGGGGCUGAAAGCGCGUGUAGGUGGUGAAUUAAGUCAAAUGUGAAAUACCCGAGCUUAACUUGGGAAUGGCAUUCGAUACUGGUUAGCUAGAGUAUGGGAGAGGAUGGUAGAAUUCCAGGUGUAGCGGUGAAAUGCGUAGAGAUCUGGAGGAAUACCGAUGGCGAAGGCAGCCAUCUGGGCUAAUACUGACACUGAGGUGCGAAAGCAUGGGGAGCAAACAGGAUUAGAUACCCUGGUAGUC
rnacentral:rRNA from 1 species